CAAUUUGUGGAAACAUUAUAUAUUUGUUCCAUAUGAUAGCAUAUGCCUAGCUAUAUAACCAAGGUGAUAUUCAAUGAGAUGUAAAUAAUAAAGUGCAAUUUAACAAUCUACUAUGAAGUUCAGUGAACAAAAAGCUAAGGAAAAGUUUUUUUGGGUCUUAUAACAAGUACCUGGAUUAGAAGUAAACAAUAACAGAAAUGAAAUCUUAUUCUCAAAUAUUUUGAGAUUUGUUAUGUGAAUCUUUUUCGUGACUCCUUUUGACUCGUUGCUACAUGAUUGGAAGUCUUAUAUGAGCUAGAUCCUUAACAACCACAAUGAAACGAGUUAGUUUUCAUCUAUCCUUCCUCUUCUUGCAUGUUCUAGUGAAAUCACUUUUAUAACGAGAGACAUGCCUACCCACGCAAGUGUAACCAUACGAAUGACGUGCAUCAGUUGGUAGAAUUUAAACAAAAAAAUACAGGUCUGCGGGACUAUGAAUACUUAAAAUUUUCCCAAUUUUUCCAGGUCGAAGCCAUUAAGAAAAUUGCAGAGUAUGUCAGUCAGUUGAGGAUGGUAGGAAAAGGACACGGAGUGUGGCACUUCGAUCAGAUGCUCCUCCAUGCAGGUGAUGGUGCGCUUUGAACCACAAGUAGUAAAUUAUGGUCAACUUUUGAGUGUCAGAAUUUCGCUUUGUUAAAAUAAAAUGUUAUGUAGAUGACGAUGUUCUUCAAAGCAUUCUGAAGUUACCUUUCCUGAUUUAUGGUUGGACAGAAAGAUGACUCGAGAAAUUGAAUAA